GACGAACGCUGGCGGCGUGCUUAACACAUGCAAGUCGAACGGUAAGGCCCUUCGGGGUACACGAGUGGCGAACGGGUGAGUAACACGUGGGUGAUCUGCCCUGCACUUCGGGAUAAGACUGGGAAACUGGGUCUAAUACCGGAUAGGACUCCGGACUGCAUGGUCUGGGGUGGAAAGCUUUUGCGGUGUGGGAUGGGCCCGCGGCCUAUCAGCUUGUUGGUGGGGUGAUGGCCUACCAAGGCGACGACGGGUAGCCGGCCUGAGAGGGUGACCGGCCACACUGGGACUGAGAUACGGCCCAGACUCCUACGGGAGGCAGCAGUGGGGAAUAUUGCACAAUGGGCGCAAGCCUGAUGCAGCGACGCCGCGUGAGGGAUGACGGCCUUCGGGUUGUGAACCUCUUUCAGCAUCGACGAAGCGAAAGUGACGGUAGGUGCAGAAGAAGGACCGGCCAACUACGUGCCAGCCGCCGCGGUAA
rnacentral:rRNA from 1 species